rnacentral:rRNA from 1 species
GAUGAACGCUAGCGGCAGGCCUAACACAUGCAAGUCGAGGGAGGAGCUUUCGGGCUUCGACCGGCGUACGGGCGCGUAACGCGUAUACAAUCUGCCUUUCACAUAGGGAUAGCCCGAAGAAAUUUGGAUUAAUACCUAAUGGUAUAUAGGAGUGGCAUCACAUUUAUAUUAAAGCUGAGGCGGUGAAAGAUGAGUAUGCGUUCUAUUAGCUAGUUGGAGAGGUAACGGCUCCCCAAGGCGACGAUAGAUAGGGGUUCUGAGAGGGAUAUCCCCCACACUGGUACUGAGAUACGGACCAGACUCCUACGGGAGGCAGCAGUGAGGAAUAUUGGACAAUGGUCGGAAGACUGAUCCAGCCAUGCCGCGUGCAGGAAGACGGCCUUAUGGGUUGUAAACUGCUUUUGCAGGGGAAGAAUAAGGACUACGAGUAGUUUGAUGACGGUACUCUGCGAAUAAGCAUCGGCUAACUCCGUG